GAUAGUGUACACACGUAAGAAGGAAAAUCAUAACAAGAGUGUUAACAAUUAAUCAAUCAACCUCAAUUAUGUAAUAGUUGCAAUCAAGGCAUCUUACAAGGAAAGUCUGGAGUUACUGAUUAGCAUGAUUGUUGCUUAAUUAUUACAUUUAGACCUUGUUAUAAAGUAUAAAUAGAGACCUUCUCCUAGGAGGGAAGACAUCCAAUUAGUUUGAAAAUAAUAGCUCUAGGAGCUGGGAAAGAUAGUUUCUUGCAGGAGAGAACCUUAUGGUCCCUUGUUUUUCUGUUCUCUUCCUCUUUUUGAAUUUUGAAAUUCCAGAUUCUCUGUUUCUCUCCUCACUUUUCUGUUCUCGGCCCUUUACUCUAACAAAUUUCUUUUCAAAGUAGUCAGUCUAAAAUUAAAAUCACAGAAGAAUGAAUGAAUGUUUUUCAUUUCGGCAAUGGUAUGGUGUUGAACCCCGAAAGAAAAAAGAAACCAUAACAAAAAUCUCAAAUUAAAGACAAAACCAAUCUCCAUAGAUGUUUGACGUUCUGACAGAAAAACCAUAGUGUCUCCAUAUAGAAUCCAUAGGACCAACUUCAAGUGUGAGCAGCUAGAAAGAAUGUUAGAUUAGAGAUAAACAAUAUGUUAAGUGUGAGAAGGUAAAACUAUUGUAUUGUAUAUUUCAUUAUCUAGUGACUGUAUUGUAAUAUAUCUUAAGAAUAUGCUAUUUUCCAAAUAUUAUCAGGAGAAAAUAGACAAAUAUGAGGUGUAAUGCCAUUCUUUAUAACAUUUUUCGGAAGACUAAGUUCCCAGCUCGUAUAAUCAUAUGCCUCUAAUAUAUAUUAUGCAAGCAGUUAUCCUGCCUUACUAGCACAUAGUUUCUCAUUUUUUUAUGCAUAUUUUUCUCCCAAGAAAUUUAAGAUGCUUGUUUCUUCUUCUUCUUUUAAAAUUUAUCCCAUGUUUUCCUCUUAAUUUAUUCACCUGUAAUAUUAUCUAGUGACUGUUCUGCAUUAUGAUAUGCAUAUCUCAAAUGCAAUAGGUCACUAAAUACUGUAAUGAUUUUUGCUUCACUUCAUUCAGUUCAUUGAUGGAUCUAAUUUGCAAAUCCAUGGCAUAAUUUGGUUUUUGAAGGUUCUGGUUUUGUAUGAUUAUUCAUACCAACAAACAUGGACAAUGAAGACUUCUUAUCUGAGUAAGAUACUAGUGUUUUUCAAAUGGUAUUUCUCCUUGCCUUGCAUGCUUAAACCAAUUAAUUUUAUUUUGAAUUCUUGAACAGUGAUUGGAUUAGAUCAUGCCUAGACCACUGUGAUUCUAUACCAACUUCCCAGUUUUGGAACAGCCAAUGGGCCUCUGUUACAGUUCGUGUUAUAAAGAACUACAACAAUAUUGAUUGGGAAACAUUCUUGUCAACUUUUUUCAACAGAUACUUGAAUAUGUUUGAGGUAGGUGCAUGCCAUACAAAGAUACUUUAAACUCCAAGUGGCAGGUGUUGUGUUGAUCAAAUUAUUUUCCACAUCUGAAUAGAGGUGAAAUUGUUUGUAUUAUUCUCAUGUUUUACAUGGAUAUGAUGCUUCUCACUGGUGUCACUACUUAGAAGUACUCAAAUAUGUUCUUAUGUUAGAAGGAUAUGCUUAUCUUCUUUACUAAAUCAUGGCAUUACUUGUAUUAUUUUUUAGGGCUUUUCUGUAUGCCAUAUAUAUAGGGUAGUUUAAAUGAUUGGUUUUGCUUUCAUUAUAACCAUAGUAGAAAACCCAGAAGGAUCCCUUUUCUGCAGCUUGGUUACCCAUGGCAACUAAGAAACAAAAAAUUAGUAAGUGGUAGUUUUUCCUUAAUUCUGACAAUUACAGGAAGCAAUAAUUAUUCUGUGGCAUUGAAACAUUCUAAAAUAGUGGACUUCUACAAUUUGAUAUUAUCUCUUUUUUAUUUUCACUCUUUGAUCAGAAGUCAUGCACUUCUAUGAUUAGGCAUAGCAGGCUAUAUAUCAUGGCCUUCUUCUUUCCCCUAUUCUUGGGAUAGUUUAAGCAUCCAACACCAUUGUUAGAAGGCCUGGAUAACUUUUUAUUUAUCACAUAAUGCAUAUUAUGUAAAUUAUGUUCAAUUGACAGGUUCUUGUGGCAAAUGGGGGUGGGUCUAAUCCAUUUUCCGUGGAUGUUCCCAGAAACACUAGAUUCUUGUUCUCAAAUAGAACAAUCACUCCAUCAAAGGCCAUAGCUAAUUCACUUGUAAGGUUUUCUCAGAAAGUCCUAGGUGGAUUCCUUGGGUUAUAUUGUAUUUUGGCUCUGUUAAAAUGUGUUUAUUCUUUAUCUUAUAUAACUAGUUGGAUGGUUGAUACCUAAUCUGCAAUUCUUUUCCCUGUCCUUGUAUCAUUUUUCCCCAAUUAAAAAUACCACAUGACAAGUGGUUAUUGAUUAAAAAGGAGUCUUCAACUUUGUUCUGUUUGUUUUCAUUAUUCUUUUUAUAUUUAUCUUUCUAAUUAUGAAUUCGUUACUUUCAUAUAGUGAAGUGACAAGUGAGGAUUAUGAUGAUCAAGAACAUUCAUGUCAAUUUGAUGACUUUUUUUGUUGAAGAACCUUUGGCUAGCAGAAUAAGGAAGUAGAAGGUAAACGUGCCAAGAAAGGAAAACAGGAUCAAGAAACGGCCCAAGAAGCUGAAGCAAGUAAGGCAGCUUGAGUUAUUACUUGCAGAUGAAAAUGGAGUAUAUGCCAACUUGAAGGGCUAUAAUUUAAAGCGAAGAAAGUCAAAGGAUAAAAAGGGCAAAGUAAUUAUUGACGAGGAUAAGAUACCAAGUGUAGUCUAUAAUGAUCCUUGGUUCUCCAGUUUAUUCACUUCACCACUCUUUGCUUUGGAUCCCACAUAUCCCCAGUUCAAGAUGCAUGGUUUUAUCAUCCCUUAAACUAAUGACUAUCGAAACAUUUUACGUGUUCUUUUUGGCUGGCAUUGUAUCCUCGCAUCUUUACAUUAUUCUUGUGUUAAUGUUACAGGAGUGCAGUUUAUUUACGCUAGCUGAAAAGGAACGCAAGGUCGACCAAGAAAAUGUUUGAGAAGCAUUAGAUUGUUCGUAGCUGAAAAGGAACGCAAGGUCGACCAAGAAAAUGUUUGAGAAGCUUUAGAUUGUUCAUAAGAUGAGAAUGUGAUGAGUGUUUAUGAUUAAGUAUGCCUAAUUGAGUAUUAGGUUGCAAGCAUCUAGAAGUUACGCCAAAGUAUGUUGAGUGUUUAAACUUGCUUGAGCAAAGAAUGUGGAACCUUGUUUUCCAAAGUAUAUACUGUACUUACUUUACAGGUUAA